rnacentral:rRNA from 1 species
GGGUCACUCCAACCCCUGUGACAUACCUUUAAUGUUGCCUCGGCGGAUCAGCCCGCGCCCCGUAAAACGGGACGGCCCGCCAGAGGACCCAAACUCUAAUGUUUCUUAUUGUAACUUCUGAGUAAAACAAACAAAUAAAUCAAAACUUUCAACAACGGAUCUCUUGGUUCUGGCAUCGAUGAAGAACGCAGCAAAAUGCGAUAAGUAAUGUGAAUUGCAGAAUUCAGUGAAUCAUCGAAUCUUUGAACGCACAUUGCGCCCGCUGGUAUUCCGGCGGGCAUGCCUGUUCGAGCGUCAUUUCAACCCUCAAGCCCCCGGGUUUGGUGUUGGGGAUCGGCUCUGCCCUUCUGGGCGGUGCCGCCCCCGAAAUACAUUGGCGGUCUCGCUGCAGCCUCCAUUGCGUAGUAGCUAACACCUCGCAACUGGAACGCGGCGCGGCCAUGCCGUAAAACCCCAACUUCUGAAUGUUGACCUCGGAUCAGGUAGGAAUACCCGCUGAACUUAAGCAUAUCAAAAAGCCG